AUGCUGUGGGUUUAUUUAUUUGUUUACUUAUUUAUUUAUGAACUGCUCCUUUGCAUCCCCGUUCGUUGCCAAGUUGGUGCCAGUCUGCAGCGUGCUCUCGCUGGGGCUCGCUCCUGCCUGGGGAGACAGGUCCCAAAAAACCUUGGUGGCUUUUCUGAGCCACCAACUGGGGGAAAAACACUGUGGAAAGGAGCAGCUGGGAAUGAAGAAUUUCUGAACUCGGGGCCGACUGUCACGGGGUGGGUGGGAAAUGGAAUGGGAGACGUGGGAGUGGGAGCGGAGCCGCCGGGCAGCCGAGCUUGGAGUGGCAUCAAAGUCGUUGCCUACACCCACGAGCCUGGCUGGGGUUGGGAGCAGCCUGUGCUCGGUGUCAGGAGAGAAUGUGCAGUUUGUUCCCUCAACUACAGACCUGGAAGGGCUCAAAUUCCGGGUAACUUUGUGGCCUUUUGCUGUGGAUUUUUGUCUCGAUGCCGGGGUUGCGCUGAGCUGCCCCGGGAUGUCCCCUCGCCCCUCCCCGUGGGAUUUCCCUGGAUUUCUCUGUGCCUGUUCCGAUGGAGAGCAGUGCUCUGGGACGCUCUGGAAUGCUCUGGGAUGCUCUGGGACACUCUGGAGCUGGAUCCCUGCUGGCUGUGUCCGUGUUCCUCCUGGAACAGGAGCUGCAUCCAGUGCCCCGCCAGAGACGCUGCCAAGCCUCGUGUCCCCCUUGUCCGUGGAUGUUUCCCGCUGUUGAUGUCUGUGGAAGAGGAAAGAGCCCCAUCCCCCAGCUCCAAGGGCCUGGAGCUCGAGUUCCAGGUUUUGGAAGUUCAGCCUUUUUUUGGUUUUUGGUGCUGUCAUGUCCUGUUGAGCCGUGACCCUGUUGGGAGCAAGGCCACGUGUCCCAAGUCCGAGUGGUGCCAUGUUUGUGUCGCAGAACGUGGAGUUCUUGGCUUGCUGUUGCACUAUAAAUUCCAAGUGUGCCACACGCUUCAAUCCACUGGUUUUUCUUUUCCUUUUGGAAGUCCUUGUGCUCAUCUUCCAUUCUUUCGUCCGCCCCGUCCCUUGUGUCACCUGUAA
rnacentral:lncRNA from 1 species